AUGAAGCAAAUUCCUUCCAAUGGUAUCCUGGUCCUGCUGAGGCAGUGGGAUUUGUGCUGCUCACUUCAGAGGGGCCAGGAACUGAGGAUCAGGUGGAGGAGGUGGAGAUUCUUGAAUUAUUUUGUGGGAAUAGUCAACUAUGACCUCUUUCUGGAGGGCUGCAAUUUCAGGAUGUGCAUCUUCAUCAAUGAUUUAUUUUUUGACAGGUAAGUACCCACUUACCAUCAUCCUCUGUGCCCCCCUCUGAAGCUGCCCAGUGCCUCUGCUAUAGCAACAUCCUCUAGUGCAAGUAGAAGAAUUUGCAGAUCUGUUCUUCACCGAUGCUUCUAUUCCUGGUUUAGAAAUUAGGAUUUGUAGAAUUUAAGUAGAUUUUGAGAAGACAAGAGGUCUGCUCGCGGCAG
rnacentral:lncRNA from 1 species